AAAAAGUAUGUUUUCCAGAGAUUGAUUUUCCCAUUAUGUCUGUAGCUCUUUUCUGCAGUUUAUGUGAUCAUUUCAAGUAUUUUAUUAAAUGGAAGGAUUGGCGUGUACGGAAUAUGAUGUACAGUUUGUAGUCCUUUAAAUCUGCAAUGGCCAGGUAAGAGGGGAAGAAAGAAGCAGGGCAUUAAAUAUAAGUACAAAUCAGAUAUAUAAAUCUGUGGGACAGCUGAGAUGUGCACUCAGAGAAUCACUAGAUGUUGUGCGAGUAACAUUAGUACAAUAACUACUGGGCAGCUGCUGCAGCCAUAAGGUCCCUAUAGAAAUGUUCAGAAGCAGCUGGUCUGUUUGUGUAACAAGAAACUGCAUUUGAGGUGUAUGAAGUGCAGCUGAUGUGUGCGGAGAGUAGAAUGGAACAUAGAUCUUACACUAAGGGGCCCAUUUACUAAGGAUCAAAGUGAAUUUUCGAAUUCAAAAACUUCGAAUUACGAAGUAAUUUUUGGGUACUUCAACCAUCGAAUAGGCCAAAAUUCGAUUUGAAUUUAAAUAACUUCACAAAUUCGACCAUUCGAUGGUAUCUGUGGCACAGGUGAGCAUGCCUUGGAUGCCAUGUAAGAUGGGUUUAGCACUGCUAAGGGAUUCCGAUAUGCUGGGGACACUUGGUGGUAUGUGUAAUUCAAGAGAAACAAGCUGAUCUACUAUGAAUAUUAAGUAAACAGCUUGAAGUACUUUAACUUUAUUUAUCUUGUUCAAUGGUGCAAAAUUGUGCAAGAGCUAUAGUUUAGUUUGGAGUCCUUUCACCUUCACUAUUCCUGGGGUGGGGCAGUUGAGUUAUAGUUGAAUAAAGCAGUUCUCUACUUGGAAUACAACAGGAGUUAAAAUACACUAUAAACAAUCUAUAUUUGUAUUGGCAUGCAUGAUAGAUAUCUGGGCUUUCAACAUCAACUGUAUUUUUACACAUAAAAAAAAAAAAAAAGAUUUGUCUCUGUACCAUGAAAAUAAAUAAUUUACAUUUCUGGGUAGUCACAUGUGCAACUUAAUGUAAUUAGACAAAGUUCUCAGACAAAGAUAAUGCACAUUUGGCAGGCAAUUAGGGGGUUAAUCCGGGUAUCGUUUCCAAUGAAAACAAUGAAACUGACUAGAAAUCAGGUAUACAGUACAUUCCCCUGCUUACAUCACCACAUUGUUUUCAGCUGACACAUUCUUCCUUAGCCAUUGAACCUCACAUACUGGCACCCAGUACAUUUGAAUGUUGGAGUUCCCUGUGACUCCCACCAUAAGUCACAAGCUUGGCAUUUCUAUCUGACAACAGCAAGAACUUGCCAGGCAGCAUUGUUCUCCGCCCUAUGUACCUGGCGUAAUGAUGACAGAAUGAAAGGGGAGUGACAAGGCAAUUUAUAUGUACAUGUACAGCUCCACAGAUAGCACUCUGCUGCUGGCAAACUUGGAAUCAAGCUUUAGGACCUUUUAACAAUGGCCGCCAGGGGCCCUGUGAAAGAGCUGCAGGACGGUUCACUGUGUCCACUCUGUGGGUGCUACUUUGAAGAUCCAGUGACCACAGAAUGUGGCCACAGUUACUGCCGGGGUUGCCUGGUAGCAAAAGCAGGGGGCAAAGCAUGCCCAGGAAUUCAGCUGAUCUGCCCUCAGUGUGGAAGGACAAUGGGCUGGAAAGCAGUGACCACUGAUGUCCGGCUUGGAGUGACCACGCGCAUUGCCCGCAGACUUAACCUCCAAGCUCCACCACCUCGGAAACAGAAGGAGCAGGGGAGGUGAGCGGUUAAUGUGGAGAAAGGGAGAGAGCACACACAAGGACUCCACUGAAGAGAAGGGAUCCACAGACCAUCUCAAACUUGUUAACCCAUGAUCUGUCAAAGCCUUGCAGUGUUGCUCAGUUAUGGACCUCAUCUGUGGAGAACAGAGAACAGCAGACUUCUUCCACUUCAUCAUAUCAGGGGAGGGCUGACAAAUUUCACCCCGGCAUGAAAAGAUAACACCUCACCACAAAGUAUAAUAUUAGUUAAAUUUAAUGUACACUUUAACUUAUAUGUUUUGACCUGCAUUAAAGGUUUAAAGAUAUGGUUCAACAGACCUGUUUGAAAUUGGGCCGUUUGGCACCUCUCCCCUGCACCUUAUUCUUUAAUAAUAUUUAUAUCUUUCUAUAUUAUAAUGAUAUAUUUUUUUACUUGUUCUUAAAAAUUUUUGUGUUGUUUUUGUCUUGUGAAGGUGUAUAUGAAUAUCUAUAUAUAACAGUUAUUUGGUAUACUGAUGUAGAGUAUCUGUAAUCUAAGAAUAAAUACUUUCUAAUAUGUA